AGCUCCAAUAGCGUAUAUUAAAGUUGUUGCGGUUAAAAAGCUCGUAGUUGGAUCUGCGGCCUCGCGUCCCGGUGUUCCCGCAGGGUUCUACUGGGUUCGCAGGCCUACCUCGCUGGUUUUCCCCUGGUCCUCUUCACUGAGUGCCUUGGGUGACCAGCAAGUUUACUUUGAAAAAAUUAGAGUGCUCAAAGCAGGCGCGUAGCCUGAAUAGUGGUGCAUGGAAUAAUGGAAUAGGACCUCGGUUCUAUUUUGUUGGUUUUCGGAGCGCGAGGUAAUGAUUAAGAGGGACAGACGGGGGCAUUCGUAUUGCUGCGUUAGAGGUGAAAUUCUUGGAUCGCAGCAAGACGGACAACUGCGAAAGCAUUUGCCAAGAAUGUUUUCAUUAAUCAAGAACGAAAGU
rnacentral:rRNA from 1 species